rnacentral:rRNA from 1 species
UACGUAGGGUGCAAGCGUUAAUCGGAAUUACUGGGCGUAAAGCGUGCGCAGGCGGUUGUGCAAGACAGAUGUGAAAGCCCCGGGCUUAACCUGGGAACGGCAUUUGUGACUGCACGGCUAGAGUGUGUCAGAGGGGGGGUAGAAUUCCACGUGUAGCAGUGAAAUGCGUAGAGAUGUGGAGGAAUACCGAUGGCGAAGGCAGCCCCCUGGGAUAACACUGACGCUCAUGCACGAAAGCGUGGGGAGCAAACAGG